UACGUAGGGUGCAGGCGUUAAUCGGAAUUACUGGGCGUAAAGCGCGCGCAGGCGGUCUUCCAAGUCAGUGGUGAAAGCCCGGAGCUCAACUCCGGAACUGCCAUUGAAACUGUUAGACUUGAGGAUGAGAGAGGUGAGUGGAAUUCCCAGUGUAGAGGUGAAAUGCGUAGAUAUCAGGAGGAACACCGAUGGCGAAGGCAGGCCUCUGGGCAGUAACUGACGCUGAGGAGCGAAAGCGUGGGGAGCGAACAGG
rnacentral:rRNA from 1 species